rnacentral:rRNA from 1 species
GGCAAACGGGUGAGUAACGCGUAAGUAACCUAUCCCUAAGUAAGGAAUAACUCUAAGAAAUUGGAGCUAAUACCUUAUGUGCUGAUAAGGGUAAUGCUUUAUUAGUAAAGCUUUAGGGCGCUCAGGGAUGGGCUUGCGUCCGAUUAGUUAGUUGGUAGGGUAAUGGCCUACCAAGGCUGUGAUCGGUAGCUGGUCUGAGAGGAUGGUCAGCCACACUGGGACUGAGAUACGGCCCAGACUCCUACGGGAGGCAGCAGCAAGGAAUUUUGUGCAAUGGGCGAAAGCCUGACACAGCGACGCCGCGUGGGGGAUGAAGGCCUUCGGGUUGUAAACCCCUUUUCUCAGGGAAGAAUAAUGACGGUACCUGAGGAAUAAGUCUCGGCUAACUACGUGCCAGCAGCCGCGGUAAUACGUAGGAGGCUAGCGUUAUCCGAAUUUACUGGGCGUAAAGAGGGCGUAGGCGGUUCUUCAAGUCGGAUGUAAAAUCUCCCGGCUUAACUGGGAGGAACCAUUCGAUACUGUUGGGCUAGAGGGCAGCAGGGGGAGGUAGAAUUCCCGGUGUAGUGGUGAAAUGCGUAGAUAUCGGGAGGAA